GAUGUUACCUUUAGAGAAUCUGAGUCUUAUUUUCCUUUCAAGUCAUCUCUUCAGCAAGAGCAUAAGAAGGAAAAGGAAGAGGUGUUUUCUCCUAACCAAGCUAUUAAGCCUCGGUCACAUCUUGGUAAUGAGCCAUCUAAUCAGGACGAACCAUUAUUAGGCUUGACUCACACCUUAGCAAUGAGUUAUCUAAUCAGGACCAACCACCUCCUCAAACCAAAGAGAAAUUGAAUAUAUUGGAUUUGAGAACCUACAUGCAUCGGAAUAAGACAGAUACAAUCAUUGAACUUGAUACACCUAAUCA
rnacentral:misc_RNA from 1 species